GACGCAGGGCGCGAGCGUUGUCCGGAUUUAGUUGGGCGUAAAGGGCUCGGUAGGCGGCCAACUAAGUCAGACGAUGAAAUCCCUCGGCUUAACCGGGGAACUGCAUCUGAUACUGGAUGGCUUGAGUUCGGGAGAGGGAUGUGGAAUUCCAGGUGUAGCGGUGAAAUGGCGUAGAUAUCUGGAGGAACACCGGUGGCGAAGGCGGCAUCCUGGACCGACACUGACGCUGAUGAGCGAAAGCCAGGGGA
rnacentral:rRNA from 1 species